AUGCAGCUGACGAGUCUCGAAUAGGACGAAAUGUGCGUCCUGGAU
rfam:Schistosoma mattheei strain Denwood, Zambia genome assembly, scaffold: SMTD_contig0005900